UCUAAUUUUAAUUGAAGACUGGUUGCCCACUGAAGCUAAGCAGGGCUGAGCCUGGUCAGUACCUGGAUGGGAGACCUCCUGGGAAAACUAGGUUGCUGCUGGAA
rnacentral:rRNA from 1 species